AUUUUUAAUGUUCAAUGGCAGACGACGCAUCGUCAGCUGAUUGCGUAUUUGUUUACCUUUCAGGAUGGCUUCCUUUCGUGUGAACAAAGAGUCCUUCGUUGACACAUUUUCUGCAAUGAAAUGACCGCCUACUUCCAUCGCAUAAGGGGCAUCGUUCUAUGGCGACAGUGAGACCAGGGGAACUUUCUAUCGAACUGGUCAAGUUAAAUUCUGUUGGAGCUAAGUUGCUUUCACAAGAACUGGAGGUCGCCAUUAUAAUAAAAAUGGAAAUGACGUAAUUGGUUUUCUAAAAGAAAAACCAUCUCAAAGAUUUCCGGCGCAGUAUCCAAAAAGGCUUAAAAGUAAAAAAAAACUUAUGAAACGACUACUAGUAUAUGCUGAGAGGGAUAAAUUGUCUUUUCACUCAAUAUGUCGUUAACAUUGAAAGGAAAAAUUUAACUGUUUUGCUGUCAUGAAAGCACAAAAAGUUGAAUCACCAUUGGUCUCCAUCUGAAUUCCACCGACCUUCAUGUGUAACAGGUUAAAAUUAGCAUUAUCAUAACGUAAUCAACACUUAAACUGUUAAACAUGAUUCGAUUUGCUCAGGGUUUUUUUCCUGUCAUUUUGCUUUCACAAUCGUCUGGUUGUUGUACAUCUAUAUGUAUUGGAUCGAUGUUCAGCAUAUCACGGUCACUAUCAUUGAUUGAAUUACUACCUAUUUUUGGGGGGUUUUUUUUAGUUAUAUAGUGUAGUUUAAACAUUCAAAUAAAAUUAAAUUAUAAUUUCAGUUAUGAAAUUCAUUCUAUGUGGUCGGUAUUUUUGACGAACACGUUUUAAAAAGUUCCUAAUAUUUAUCAAUCAACUGAUCAAGUUUUUAAAAAAAAGAAAACUAAAAAAAUAUCGCAGAAAAAAAGUGCAGUAACAAUGUGACAACAUAUAUAUGUAUCGAAUAAACACGUACUUGACUAUGAUGUAAAUGUUAUAUUUGCGGAUUUAAAUGAAGUAUAAAAUGACGGUACAACUUAC
rnacentral:sRNA from 1 species